GACCGCUCCGGUGGCAUAGGGGUUAGAUCAUCCGCCUCUGAUGCGGGCAUCGCGGGUUCGAACCCCGAUCGAGUCA